rnacentral:snRNA from 1 species
GUGCUCGUUCGGGCAGACAUAUACUAAAAUUGGAACGAUACCAGGAAGAUUAGCAUGGCCUGCGCAGGAUGACACACAAUUCAUGAAGCGUUCGCAUAUCUUU